rnacentral:rRNA from 1 species
UACGAAGGGGGCUAGCGUUGCUCGGAAUGACUGGGCGUAAAGGGCGCGUAGGCGGUUCAUACAGUCAGAUGUGAAAUUCCCGGGCUUAACCUGGGGGCUGCAUUUGAUACGUAUGGGCUUGAGUGAGGAAGAGGGUUGUGGAAUUCCCAGUGUAGAGGUGAAAUUCGUAGAUAUCGGGAGGAACACCAGUGGCGAAGGCGGCGACCUGGACGGACACUGACGCUGAGACGCGAAAGCGUGGGGAGCAAACAGG